rnacentral:misc_RNA from 1 species
CCGAGUUUACAACUCCCAAACCCCUGUGAACAUACCACUUGUUGCCUCGGCGGAUCAGCCCGCUCCCGGUAAAACGGGACGGCCCGCCAGAGGACCCCUAAACUCUGUUUCUAUAUGUAACUUCUGUGUAAAACCAUAAAUAAAUCA